GGCUGCAUGGCUGUCGUCAGCUCGUGUCGUGAGAUGUCGGUUAAGUCCGCUAACGAGCGCAACCCUCGCUGUGUGUUACAAGUGUCACACAGGACCGCCGGUCUUAAGCCGGAGGAAGGUGGGGAUGACGUCAAGUCAGCAUGGCCUUUAUGUCCAGGGCUACACACACGCUACAAUGGUCAGCACAAUAGGUAGCCAAGCCGCGAGGUGGAGCCAAUCCUCAAAGCUGGCCUCAGUUCAGAUCGCAGGCUGCAACCCGCCUGCGUGAAGCCGGAGUUGCUAGUAACCGCAGGUCAGCUAUACUGCGGUGAAUACGUUCCCGGGGCUU
rnacentral:rRNA from 1 species